rnacentral:rRNA from 1 species
AUUGAACGCUGGCGGCAGGCCUAACACAUGCAAGUCGAGCGGAUGAAGGGAGCUUGCUCCUGGAUUCAGCGGCGGACGGGUGAGUAAUGCCUAGGAAUCUGCCUGGUAGUGGGGGAUAACGUCCGGAAACGGGCGCUAAUACCGCAUACGUCCUGAGGGAGAAAGUGGGGGAUCUUCGGACCUCACGCUAUCAGAUGAGCCUAGGUCGGAUUAGCUAGUUGGUGGGGUAAAGGCCUACCAAGGCGACGAUCCGUAACUGGUCUGAGAGGAUGAUAAGUCACACUGGAACUGAGACACGGUCCAGACUCCUACGGGAGGCAGCAGUGGGGAAUAUUGGACAGUGGGCGAAAGCCUGAUCCAGCCAUGCCGCGUGUGUGAAGAAGGUCUUCGGAUUGUAAAGCACUUUAAGUUGGGAGGAAGGGCAGUAAGUUAAUACCUUGCUGUUUUGACGUUACCAACAGAAUAAGCACCGGCUAACUUCGUG